CGGAACCAGGUGCUCAGGUGUUUGAUUACUUACUGCUUCCCCAGUGCCUCUGCUUCCCUGCCCCCCGCCGUGCUGAGGGAGAUGAAGGGAGGCGGGGGACGCACAGCAGGUAGCGGCACGGUGAUGUGGCGAGGAGUGGAGUGUGGAGUUCGUCAUGUCCGGCCUUCACUACCCGGGGCUGGGCUGAGUUCCUGGAAUCCUCACCUGCUCACACUGCUCUCUCGCUUUCGUCAUCACUGCUCGCUCUCCUCUUCGUCAUCCUCCUCCUAUUCCUCGUUUUCCUGUCUUCCUCCUCUCAAACAAAAACACCAACUCCUCGUUCUCAUUUUGUUGCUUCCUGCCAGCUUGAUACCACCCUUGUUUGCUUGUAAAUAAAAUAGCUUUAAAAUCUAUAA